ACGCGUGGGUACGUACCCUGAUCCUGGGAAUAACCCUCGGAAACGAGGGCUAAUACCGAAUGUGGCGAACGACCGGUUGGUCGCUCGCUAAGGUGGCUCUUCUAUGCUGCCGGGUUGGGAUCGGCCGCGUCCAUUACUAGUUGGUGAGGUAACGGCUCACCAAGGCCACGAUGGGUAGCCGGCCUGAGAGGGUGUACGGCCACACUGGCACUGAGACAAGGGCCAGUCCCCUAUGGGAGGCGCAGGCGGGAAUAGUUCACAAUGGGCGAAAGCCUGAUGACGCGACGCCGCGUGAGCGAAGAAGACCUUCGGGUUGUAAAGCUCUGUCAGGAGGGAAGAAGGCUCUACGGGUUAAUAGCCCGUGGAAUUGACGGUACCUCCAGAGGAAGCCCCGGCUAAAUACGUGCCAGCAGCCGCGGUAAUACGUAUGGGGCAAGCGUUGUCCGGAUUUACUGGGCGUAAAGGGCGCGUAGGCGGUUUGUUAAGUCGAAGGUGAAAUCCUCGGGCUCAACUCGAGAAUUGCCUUCGAUACUGGCAAACUAGAGUGGCGGAGAGGAAAGCGGAACUCUUGGUGUAACGGUGGAAUGUGUAGAUAUCAAGAGGAACACCGGUGGCGAAGGCGGCUUUCUGGACGCACACUGACGCUCAGGCGCGAAAGCGUGGGUAGCAAACAGGAUUAGAUACCCUGGUAGUCCACGCCAUAAACGAUGGGUACUAGGUGUCGGGGGUAUCGACCCCUCCGGUGCCGCAGUUAA
rnacentral:rRNA from 1 species